CUUUUACAAUGCAGACGAUGCGAAUCUAAUUUCCGCAAACGCCUCACUUAAAAAAUAUUAUUUUAAUAUUCAACUCUUCAAACUAAGUUUUUUUAGAAGAGUUUACAAUUUCCAUUUAAAUCUAAAUCUAGAUUUUUUUAUAUAAAAAAAAUAAAUAAUAAAAUAGAAGAAUAAAUCACAUUUGUUGCCAACCAACUGGGGAGUUGUUGGCAAGCUACAAAAGCUGGAAGAAUUGGAUGUAGUUUGGAGGAGGAGAAACUAAAGAAAGAAGUGCAUUUGGCUGUUUUCUUACAAAAGAUAAACUGGAGCUUGAUUAACAGAUCAACUGACUCGAAAAGAAAAUAAUCAAAAAUGCAUCGAGGCUAAAAUCAGUAACUAAUUUGACAAUGAUCGAUGAUGAUAUGAAAGUUCGAAAGCGUAAAAUGCAUAGGAUCAGGAUUUUCGUGGCAAGAAACCGGACUCUAAUGACCUUUUUUUUUUUCUUUUCUUUUUACCUUACAGAAAUCACACAAUACCCCGACUAACUUGGCCCAUAUCCAAUACGGAAAUUCUGCGACAUUAACAAAACUAUGAAGGAAAAAGGUCAUUGAAAUUGCUUUUACGAGAUCGUCGAGUUCAAGUUCUACUACACUUUUGCUUUUUGUGUUUUUUUCUUUUCUUCCUUUUCCUAAAUGAAACAAGAUUCUUUACUGAAAUUAAUGACUUUGGUCGUUUCAAGUCCACUUUUCUGAGAAACUAGAAUUGCUCUCUUGAUACUGAUGCGAUGAUUUAGAACUAGAGAAGGUGAAUAAAAGCUUUAUGUGAAUAGAACAUGUUUAAUUCCAUUGGGAAAUUUAGAACCUGCUGUUUUUUUCAAGAAGGUUUUAACUUUUUAUAAAUAUAAAACAUAUUUUCUUUUAUGUUUCCAGUUAAAAAUAAUGAUUAAUUUUAGAUCUAUUCCUAGCAAGAUACAGUCAAACGCCGUUCUAAAUAGAGCCACCCUUAUAAAUCGCAAUGAAUACUUCUAAAAGGAUCCUCCUCAUAAAUAAAGAAUUCUUUCGCAGAGAUUCUCAUCCUCAAGUGUCCAAAUGUCAUAUCUAUAGCUUAGAUAAUGUACGAUUUUGCAUUCUAAAUGGCAUUUCUAUUUGUCCAAAGACCCCAAUACUGCACACCAAUCUUAACGUUUGGGGUUAUUCAAUUUAAUACUACAUUCGAUUUAGUAUCCAUUUUAGAAGCGAACAAACAGAGGCGCUAAAUUGACGUUUGACAAUACUUGUUCAAUAAGAAAGAAGCAUUUUUCUACCAAGAUUUAUGUGGAGACGAAGCUGUUAGUCGCGUCGUGUCGCGUAAGCAUGCGACGUGACUAAUAACUUUCUCUCAUGAUUUAAAAAAUGAAGUAAUAAUUAUUUACUUAUUUAUUUUGUGAGCUGUUCGACCUUAAUACGUUAAUGAAAUCUACUCGGGUCAUUGAGUGUUAUAAAGCCUGGAAAAAAGAGGAAACCCGUACGCACUUGUUUAUCAGGGAAAAUUUUUCAAUUUGAACAGGUACGAAGCGGUGCAAAAUAGAGAAACUGGAACAGGGAA
rnacentral:lncRNA from 1 species